CCCUAAGCCAUCUGUACUCCAGGAGACUGACCGGUCCUCCCGUAGAACCUACUCUUCUGCUUCGAAGCAAAUGCUUGGCGGGACCAGGAGCUGGAGUCCAGGGAUGUCCAGAGAGGAGCAUACCUGGUGCCACCAUGUGGCAGGUGCUGCAGAAUUCUCCCCGGUCUCAGCCUGGGUCCCUCCAGGUGCAGGUAUGGCUUGGUACGAAUGUGUGCCCUUGGCUACCUGGAGCUUUGAUCCUUUCUCCUUGGGUUCCCUCUGGCUGGCUGUGGAUGCUGACAUUGUCUGGUCCCCUUUGCCUCCGGGACCCCCUUCAGGAAUCCCCCUGUUCCUGCCCUCUGGAAUGCUUGGGUACCAUCUGCCUCCUUGUCUUCAAACUUCUGAUUGGAGGUUCGGUCCGCUCAUCGGCUGUCUGGAUGAGGCGGAGUACAUGGCCCAGACCGUGGGCCCCUUCCCGAGGUCUGGACUCCCUGCCUGGAGCGCUGUAGCCAUGUACCCCGUGAUGAGAGUGUGGUGGCAUGAAACCCAUUUCCAAGUCAACCGCGCUGAGUGUUUCAAAGAUGCUCAUGGCAGAGCACUCUGUCCUAGCCAUGGCUGGUGCACCAGUAGUCAUGGACCUUGGAGAAUCGAAGGCCGCAAGGAGGAGGCUGGCAGGCGGAAGGUAGGCAACCCCUGCCAGGGAACCGGGAAUCCCCGCCCCAGGAGGAUGCCCGGCCAGGGGGCAGCGGGCAAAGGCUCCAAGGAGCGAAAGGAGAGAUAAGCAGCUUGGUUCCCUCUCAUUCGCAUUGGCUUCCUGGCCAGAGAUGCCCUCCCUUUCUCUUUGUUUUCCCUCCUCCUAGACAUCAUGGGACAAGAAACUUUCAUACCUACCAAUUCCCCAUUGGGAUGCCUGCUGGAAAAGAAAAAAAACCAACAACCCCUGAAAGGCACUGGGUUCAACAGCCUCUGUCUUUUAGCACACCGCCUGCCCUCAUAUCAUCUAGAGGAGCACGAGAAAUGGCUAGUUCGUGGCAGUUAGACUCUGAGACCAUUCCACAGCUAGAUCCGUUUUAUAAAACAGGAGCAGAGUGGUCAGAGGUCCCGUCUGUCCAAACUUACAGAUAUUGAAGAGGCAGUCCACAAAUGCUCUCUCGAAAGGAGGUGAGAGGGGGUAGCACCCAUUUCAAUAAGCUGAGAAAUGGAGCUCCCUGCUGUCCCGACCCUAUGGAGGUGGAUUCUUUUCUCCCAAUGGAGCACAACCUCCCCCACCCCCCACCCCUUACACUCACCCCUCCCCACCCAACCUGGGCAGGCAGCGUUGUUACCAUUAUAAGAAGUCAGGAGGGAGGCCUUUGAAGGUGCCUGUGCCUCUCUUAAAGCCUGCAAAGAAAACUUUGGGACGCUUCUCAAUUGAUCCCUCCACCUUCCUUAGAGAACUCCAACAUAUGACUUUGGCCUUUGAUUUAACCAGGAGAGAUCUGUGGGUUAUAUUUUCUUAUUGUUGCACCCCAAUGAAAGAAAUAGUCUAAUUGCUGCAGGGCAGGCAUGUGGGGACCACCUCCACAUUCACCAGCCCCAGCUUACCCCCUGCAAAUCAAGGGGUCCUCAGAAUGGGAAUGCCAACAGGGGCCUUGAGAGCCACCCUGAGACCUUGCAUGAUCACCUGUAAUAGAAGGAAGGAAGGCAGUAUGAAUCAAACCCAUUCGAGGCAGUGCAGAUGUAUACAGAACUUAAAUCCCAGUUCUGCCGAGGCAGCUCUAGCAGGGAACACUCAUUUCAUUAAUCAAUCGGGCCCUGAUUGGGACCCCAGGCCUCUGUAUCCCAGCGCUUAGAAGGGACGAGCACUAGCACACUAAGCGGGACCUGGAGGUAACAGAGAGGAACUGCAAAAAAAAAAAAAAAAGACAAAUUCUAGCCCUGGCUCUUGUUUCACAAGGUAAGCCUGCAGCCGGUGGGAACACCAGGGGAAAGAGGGAGGGAGUGCUACUGGUGUGGCAUGGCGGGAGCACUUCCAACACACCUGUCCAGCACUCUGACUGGAAAAAUCGGCUGGCCCGUAGAAGCAUGCCAGUGUGCCCAGACACCAUGCUCCAAGUGUGGACAAGUAGGCCACUGGGCACGUGACUGCCCCUCGUUCUCAAAGGAGCAUGGAGGAGGUCACAAUGUCAGUGGCGAUGGAGAAGGGUUCCAGGAUGUAGAGGUGCUCCCUCCACUCCAACCAUGCCCAUACCUUCUGGAGACGCCCCAGGUAACCGUGGAUGGAGCCGGUAACUCAAUUAAAUGUCUCACUGACGCGAGAGCGACUUACUCGGUACUUCGGGCUUCCUGCGGCCUCUUGUCUGCCCCCUCCUGUUUUGUUGUAGGCAUUGAUGGAAAACCAGCUGCGCAGCAGGGAGGGAAUGCUCUUAGCUCACCAGUUUUAACUCAUCCCCGAAGUCCAAUACCUUUGUUGGGAUGAGAGUUCUUAGCAAAGUUAGGGUUCCUUACAACUGCAGUUUCUCUACUAAUGUUUGGAUUUUGCCUGUUCAAUUUUCUGGUAAAAUAUGUCUCAUCCAUUACACAGGUGAACCAAAUCCAAGUGCUAAGAGAACCAGAUGGAUGUACUUUAAUUCUCACUCAACUGGACCCCCUGGAUCAAGCAAGCUCUUCCAUUGGGUAGUGGAGUCCAGCACCUCCUAAGGCCAGGGCCAGGUAGGAGGUGGAGAGAAGCCUCCCCCACUACGACCCACUCCAGCAGGAAGCAGCUAGAUGAGUCAUCGCCCCUUGCCCAGAAAGAAUUUGAGGCUCCUCUCCCCUCAGGGAAGAAGGUUAGGGACAGAUCAGAGAAGCUGGAAAAUCCCACUGAGAAAAAACACAAAUUUAUCAGAAGUUUCUCCCCUCCCCUCCCUGAAUCACCACUCCCCCUCCGACAAUCAUGAAUAUUCCUCCUUGUCCUUAGCAUUCCUUGGUAAAUUGUGCCCCACUGGCUUGUCUCCACUCUGAGGAGACUGGCCUGUUCCCUCCUGUAGAACAUGGUUUUGCUCUGAAAUAAACCCUUGGCAGAAUGA